GGAGAGGUGUCCGAGUGGCCGAAGGAGCAGCACUGGAAAUGCUGUAACGGGUUUAAAUCCGUUCGAGGGUUCGAAUCCCUCCCUCUCCG
rnacentral:tRNA from 1 species